rfam:Pteropus alecto contig103718, whole genome shotgun sequence.
CCAAAGGCUCUUUUCAGAGCCACCACAUGUUCACAAAAGGUGCUGU